CCUACGGGAGGCAGCAGUGGGGAAUUUUGCGCAAUGGGGGAAACCCUGACGCAGCAACGCCGCGUGGAGGAUGAAGUCUCUUGGGACGUAAACUCCUUUCGAUCGGGACGAUAAUGACGGUACCGAGAGAAGAAGCCCCGGCUAACUUCGUGCCAGCAGCCGCGGUAAU
rnacentral:rRNA from 1 species